rnacentral:misc_RNA from 1 species
CUGAAUAUUUAUUGCAAUAUAUUCUAUCUAUCCAUUACUCUCGAGUGACGUGGGGGAAAAAUUAUUCCGCUGCGAAAUGAAUGCUUAUUUACCAUCUACAGUUUACAUUGAAUAUUGUUGGUAGUUUAAGACAGUUGCAGCAUCUUUAUCUCCACGACCACUGCAGUUUACUAUGACCUUAGUGCCACUGGGUAAAGUUGGACAAAGUUUCUCCAGAAAUGCCAAUGCAUGAGAUGCCUCCAGAGAUGGAAUUAUACCCUCUAUUCUGCUAAGCCUUUUGUAUGCUUCUACAGCUUCUUUAUCUGUUGCAGAAUAAAACUCUGCACGUCCUGUGUCUUUAAGAAAGCUUAGUUCUGGGCUAACUCCUGGGUAUUCUAGCCCCACACCAAUAGAGUGUGGUCCUAUUAUCUGGCCUUCCUCAUCCUGCAACAAGUAGCUCAUGGCUCCAUGGUAAACUCCCACUUCUCCUCUAGCCAGAGUAGCAGCAUGUUUCCCACUAUCUAAACCAAACCCAGCAGCCUCAACUCCUAUCAACCUCACAUCUUCAUCUCCUAUGAAUUCGUGGAAUAUCCCCAGUGCAUUAGAUCCACUCCCUACACAGGCAAGCAGGACAUCUGGCUUGCCACCCCAUUUCUCCAUCGCUUGCCUCCGCGUUUCCUUUCCUAUCACUGACUGGAACUCGCGGACCAUGCUUGGACAUGGAUGAGGCCCCACUAUAGUACCCUAUAGUACCUGUCAAGUAAUAGGUUGUCUGUAAAUUUCCCACCCAUUCCCUGAUUGCCUGUGAACUUGCAUCUUUAAAAUUUCCUUCCACACCUUUAACCUCAGCUCCUAAUAGUUUCAUCAAGAGUACGUUUGAGUUUUGUUUCUCCAUAUCUGAAAUGCCCAUGAAAACAGUACACUCCAAAGAAAGCUUGGCACAUGCAGCCGCAGUUGCAACUCCAUGUUGUCCAGCCCCAGUGGCCGCCACAACACUUUUCAGACCCAUGCGUUUGGCAAUCAUCCCCUGAGCAAUCGCAUUAUUCAAUUUGUGUGCUCCGCAGUGGUUGAGAUCUUCUCUCUUCAAGUAAAUUUCUGGUCCAUGUCCAUCUUCAUUCUUGUAGUGAUUUGUGAGCCGCUCUGCAAAGUACAGAGGUGUCUCCCUUCCUAUGUAGUCUCUUAGUGCUGUUUGAAGUUCAUUCUGAAACUCAGGGUCCUCUAAGGCCCAGUUGAAUUCAGCUUCAAGCUCCUUCAAGCAUGCAAUGAGAGUCUCAGGCACGAACUUGCCUCCAAACCUCCCAAAUUUUCCAGAGAUGAUUGCUGGCACAUUAAUGGGAACUUGCUGUGUUCCCAUCAUUGGUUUGUUGAGGUCCAAUUUUCUGGAGUUGGGAGUAUUUUCCAUAUGCAAAAGUUGAGCACAAGCUACAUGGGCAUUUCUGGUAUUUCU